GACGAACGCUGGCGGCGUGCCUAAUACAUGCAAGUCGAGCGGAACUGGGGGAGCUUGCUCCUUCCAGUUUAGCGGCGGACGGGUGAGUAACACGUGGGCAACCUGCCCUGCAGGUCGAGAUAACUCCGGGAAACCGGUGCUAAUACCGAAUAGUUUGGCGCCUCUCCUGAGGCGCUACGGAAAGACGGUUUCGGCUGUCACUGCAGGAUGGGCCCGCGGCGCAUUAGCUAGUUGGUGGGGUAACGGCCCACCAAGGCGACGAUGCGUAGCCGACCUGGGAGGGUGACCGGCCACACUGGGACUGAGACACGGCCCAGACUCCUACGGGAGGCAGCAGUAGGGAAUCUUCCGCAAUGGACGCAAGUCUGACGGAGCAACGCCGCGUGAGUGACGAAGGUUUUCGGAUCGUAAAACUCUGUUGUGAGGGAAGAACACGUACCAACUAACUAUUGGUACCUUGACGGUACCUCGCCAGAAAGCCACGGCUAACUACGUGCCAGCCGCCGCGGUAA
rnacentral:rRNA from 1 species